UUCUUUUGGCAUUAAUAUGUAGAAAAAAAUUAAUAUUUUUUCAGGCAUUAAGACCUUUUAUGUCAUACUAUACAUUUGGCAUGGAGGCAUUACAGAACCUGGGUCAGGUGACACAGUGGAUUCUUUCACAUGAAUGGACAGUUGGGGACCUCUGGAAUAUGAUGGUAGAAUACUCAUUGCAAAGAUUGAAGGGACAAAAAAAUCUUGGAUUCUUUACUUGGCUUCUUCCGUCAUUAACUUCCCAUUAAUCCAAGAUAUUUGACUUGCCAUGUACGCCUUAACUUCAUUUUUUAGGAUCAUUAGUUGAAUUACGUUUACCCCAUUUGGUUUUCUGUAUAUCAUGUUCUUGUGGAUAGGUCUAACUGGGGUUAUUUUGUAAAAGUUUAAUGCGCUGCUCUCCUGUUCCUUUCUUAUUCUUGUUUGUAAAGGGAGGGUUCUGAGUAGCUGAAGAGUAUGAAUGCAGGACAUAAUUUUUCCAUAUUGAAGUUCUGUCAUACUUGAAGCAAGUUAACUUGGACAAUGUAAAUGCUUGUCUCCUGACUCCUUAUCUGAUUGAAUUGGAUUGUCUGUGAAUCUGACUUGACCUCUGAAGAGUUCUGAAGGAUCUAAUUACAAGUUACAACAUGUAUUUUAUUGAUUAUAUGUGAUUGAGAA